GCUCAGGACGAACGCGGGCGGCGUGCUUAACACAUGCAAGUCGAACGGAAAGGCCCUUCGGGGUACUCGAGUGGCGAACGGGUGAGUAACACGUGGGUGAUCUGCCCUGCACUUUGGGAUAAGCCUGGGAAACUGGGUCUAAUACCGAAUAUGACCACGCGCUUCAUGGUGUGUGGUGGAAAGCUUUUGCGGUGUGGGAUGGGCCCGCGGCCUAUCAGCUUGUUGGUGGGGUAAUGGCCUACCAAGGCGACGACGGGUAGCCGGCCUGAGAGGGUGACCGGCCACACUGGGACUGAGAUACGGCCCAGACUCCUACGGGAGGCAGCAGUGGGGAAUAUUGCACAAUGGGCGCAAGCCUGAUGCAGCGACGCCGCGUGAGGGAUGACGGCCUUCGGGUUGUAAACCUCUUUCAAUAGGGACGAAGCGCAAGUGACGGUACCUAUAGAAGAAGGACCGGCCAACUACGUGCCAGCAGCCGCGGUAAUACGUAGGGUCCGAGCGUUGUCCGGAAUUACUGGGCGUAAAGAGCUCGUAGGUGGUUUGUCGCGUUGUUCGUGAAAACUCACAGCUUAACUGUGGGCGUGCGGGCGAUACGGGCAGACUAGAGUACUGCAGGGGAGACUGGAAUUCCUGGUGUAGCGGUGGAAUGCGCAGAUAUCAGGAGGAACACCGGUGGCGAAGGCGGGUCUCUGGGCAGUAACUGACGCUGAGGAGCGAAAGCGUGGGGAGCGAACAGGAUUAGAUACCCUGGUAGUCCACGCCGUAAACGGUGGGUACUAGGUGUGGGUUUCCUUCCUUGGGAUCCGUGCCGUAGCUAACGCAUUAAGUACCCCGCCUGGGGAGUACGGCCGCAAGGCUAAAACUCAAAGGAAUUGACGGGGGCCCGCACAAGCGGCGGAGCAUGUGGAUUAAUUCGAUGCAACGCGAAGAACCUUACCUGGGUUUGACAUGCACAGGACGA
rnacentral:rRNA from 1 species